rnacentral:rRNA from 1 species
AUUGAACGCUGGCGGCAUGCCUUACACAUGCAAGUCGAACGGCAGCACGGGGGCAACCCUGGUGGCGAGUGGCGAACGGGUGAGUAAUACAUCGGAACGUGCCCCGUAGCGGGGGACAACCAGUCGAAGACUGGCUAAUACCGCAUACGCUCCACGGAGGAAAGCAGGGGAUCGCAAGACCUUGCACUAUGGGAGCGGCCGAUGCCCGAUUAGCUAGUUGGGAGGUAAAGGCUCACCAAGGCAACGAUCGGUAGCUGGUCUGAGAGGACGACCAGCCACACUGGGACUGAGACACGGCCCAGACUCCUACGGGAGGCAGCAGUGGGGAAUAUUGGACAAUGGGCGCAAGCCUGAUCCAGCCAUGCCGCGUGGAUGAAGAAGGCCCUAGGGUUGUAAAGUCCUUUCGG